UACGUAGGGGGCAAGCGUUGUCCGGAAUCAUUGGGCGUAAAGAGCGCGUAGGCGGCCCGAUAAGUCCGCUGUGAAAGUCAAGGGCUUAACCCUUGAAUGCCGGUGGAUACUGUCGGGCUAGAGUCCGGAAGAGGCGAGUGGAAUUCCUGGUGUAGCGGUGAAAUGCGCAGAUAUCAGGAAGAACACCCGUGGCUAAGGCGGCUCUCUAGUACGGUACUGACGCUGAGGCGCGAAAAGCGUGGGGAGCAAACAGG
rnacentral:rRNA from 1 species